CUGCAACCAGUAAAGCCAGCCAGGCUCCCCGCCUAAUAGGGGCUCAGUGUGUGAUGACUGCAAAUAGCAGCCCCCUUGGCAGGGUGCCAGCCUGUUGGUAUGAGUUGCCCUAAGGGCUUUGGAGACAGCC
ensembl:snoRNA SNORA70 Small nucleolar RNA SNORA70